rnacentral:rRNA from 1 species
GACAGAGGGUGCAAACGUUGCUCGGAAUUACUGGGCGUAAAGCGCGUGUAGGCGGUUUCGCAAGUCAGGUGUGAAAGCCCAGGGCUCAACCCUGGAAGUGCACAUGAUACUACGGAGCUUGAGUACUGAAGAGGAGAGCGGAAUUCCCGGUGUAGAGGUGAAAUUCGUAGAUAUCGGGAGGAACACCAGUGGCGAAAGCGGCUCACUGGACCACAACUGACGCUGAGGCGCGAAAGCUAGGGGAGCAAACAGG